AGCGCAGGCGGACGGGUCAGUUCAAAGUGGAAUCCCAGGGCUCAACCCUGGACGUGCUUUGGAUACUGCCUGUCUUGAGUUCGUGAGAGGAAAGUGGAAUUCAGGGUGUAGCGGUGAAAUGCUUAGAUAUCCUGAGGAACACCAGUGGCGAAAGCGACUUUCUGGCACGAAACUGACGCUGAGGCUCGAAAGCGUGGGUAGCGAACG
rnacentral:rRNA from 1 species